UGGGGAAUAUUGGACAAUGGGCGAAAGCCUGAUCCAGCAAUACCGAGUGAGUGAUGAAGGCCUUAGGGUUGUAAAGCUCUUUUAGCAAGGAAGAUAAUGACGUUACUUGCAGAAAAAGCCCCGGCUAACUCCGUGCCAGCAGCCGCGGUAAGACGGAGGGGGCUAGCGUUGUUCGGAAUUACUGGGCGUAAAGAGUGCGUAGGCGGUUUAGUAAGUUGGAAGUGAAAGCCCGGGGCUUAACCUCGGAAUUGCUUUCAAAACUACUAAUCUAGAGUGUAGUAGGGGAUGAUGGAAUUCCUAGUGUAGAGGUGAAAUUCUUAGAUAUUAGGAGGAACACCGGUGGCGAAGGCGGUCAUCUGGGCUACAACUGACGCUGAUGCACGAAAGCGUGGGGAGCAAACA
rnacentral:rRNA from 1 species